CCACAACCAGCGUCUGAUCGGGAUGCAGCACCAACCCCAUUCCAGGAAGAGGUCCAGUCUGCCCCGGGUCAGAACCACUUCUAUAGCAACUACACAAAUGUGAAUGCACUUAUCAUUAUUGAUAGCCAGUCUGAGCCAGAAGACAAAAUGGAGCAACG